UACGUAGGGGGGCUAGCGUUGUCCGGAUUUAUUGGGCGUAAAGAGCGUGUAGGCGGCCAUGUAGGUCCGGUGUGAAAACUCGAGGCUUAAACCUCGAGAUGUCAUCGGAAACCAUUUGGCUAGAAGUCCGGUAAGAGGAGAGUGGAAAUUCCUGGUGUAGCGGUGAAAUGCGCAGAUAUCAGGAAGAACACCAAUGGCGAAAAGCAGCUCUCUGGGACGGUACUGACGCUGAGACGCGAAAGCGUGGGGAGCGAACAGG
rnacentral:rRNA from 1 species